AUGAGCCGAUGUUUCUUACCGAAGGGUCGCUGCUGGAGGACUCGGAGCGGUUUGCAUCAGGUGAGCCGGAGCGGAGUUAGUGGUCGAGCAGGAGGGAGCAGGAGGGAGGAGGAGGGAGGAGGUGUCCUGCCAGGAGCCCUGUUCUUCCUCCAGUCUGUGGCGCGCCUUCUGCACAGCCUUUUCCUGAUGAGAGGAGACGGCCCACUGCUAAUGUACUGGAAUGCUCUACUCUGAAUAAUGGCAAAACCAGUCUCUGUGAAGGUCCAACAAAAACAAAAAAAACAUGCUUUCAGUCUUGGACACUCACACAAUCACAAAGUAACACAACUGUAUUACUUAUUGUGUGUCUGUGAUUAUGCAAAACUAAUCAGCGAGAAUGUGUGAAAAUGAUUUUAGAUUCAUGUUGAACAAUUGAAAGGUGAAGUGUGCAUCUGUCUGUGAUAUUCACUGUUUGGAUGGUUUGACACCUUAUGAUGAAUAAUUUCACAGUAAAACUAAAGUAAUCAAGAUUUAUCUUUCUGGUAAACCACUAAUCCACAUGUGAGCAUCUUAAAAUAGAAUAAAGCUACCUUUAUUAUCUGUAUACAUACACUCUACACACAAUACUGGGUCCACAAUAUGAUUUUUUGUAAUAAAAUGAGAUUGAAGACAAAUUAUGACUGAAAAAGAUUUGUUUAUUUCUUAGAUAAAAAUCUACAAAAUAUAUUUUCUCUUAAAUUUUCAUAUUAUAGAAUAAGUUUUCUAUUUCUGAGGUAACUGUGCAAUCAACUGUCACUUAAAGUGGCCAGGAACGCAAUUAGGUGUAACUUUAAGCAUUAAUAUAACAUAAUAUAAAUAUAGUGAGUUAUAUACAAAUUCCUGUACAGUUCUUAUGAACAGAUAAAUUAGAGACUAAAGCAGGUUUUUGUAUCAGGCCGUAAACAUGUUUAUUUCUGCUGUAAAGUUGAAUUAAAGCAUUUUAAUAUGGGGCCUUAUGGAGGUUGACUCACUGCUGGAGCCAGCCUCUAGUGGCCGUUAGAGGAACUGCAUGUUUUGGUUACUUCGAUGUUGGAUUCAUUUGCAGCCACAGAGGUUGCUGCUUGUUACUGACAUGCUGUUUCUUCACAUAUUUGUAUCGUGAUUUAACUGUCUCACCGUAUACAUCUUUACUUUCUUAUCUGUGACUGAUGAUUGAUAUACUUUCUGGUUCACUCUAGUAUUGCUGUCAAAUGUUGUAAUGGGGCUGCAACUAAUCAUUUUUUUCAUUUUCAUUCAUUAUUAAUUUGCUUAGGAGCUUUCUCAAUUAACCAUUUAAUCGUUUAGGCUAAAAAAAAUUCAGAAAAUAGUGUUUCCUAAAGCUUUUUCUUUAGAUAUUUUAUAUGUUUUUUAGAUAUUUUUAGUUUCAGAUUAUUUUCCUGCUGAAUGAUUAAUUGUUUCAGUCGGUCAGAGACUUGAUAUGACUACGUUGGUGGUAAUAAGUCUGUGUGUAUGUUAGCUGUUCAGUUGCUGUAGGCUCCAUUAAUGGCAGGGACGAUAGUAAGGUACCUGUCUUCAGCCACAUGACGGAUACAGCCAGUGUGUCAGUGGGAAAAAAAGUUAUUGCUGUUUAAAAAGGGCAUUUCUGCACCCAAGACAAAAAGCCAGGGGAGCCGUCCCCCCCUUCAGUCCCUCCCCUGUGCAGCCCCACUGCAUUCAGACUGGAAAAUAAAUCAAGUGAUGGAUUAUUCAAACAGUG
rnacentral:lncRNA from 15 species